UACGGAGGGGGCUAGCGUUGUUCGGAAUUACUGGGCGUAAAGCGCACGUAGGCGGCUUUGUAAGUUAGAGGUGAAAGCCCGGGGCUCAACUCCGGAAUUGCCUUUAAGACUGCAUCGCUAGAAUUGUGGAGAGGAGACUGGAAUUCAUGGUGUAGCAGUGAAAUGCGUAGAAAUCCGGAGGAACCCCAGAGGCGAAGGCGGCGCUCUGGCUCGCAACUGACGCUCAGACACGACAGCAUGGGGAGCGAACGGG
rnacentral:rRNA from 1 species